CUUUGGUUUUAUUUUGUUGGUUUCUAGAACUGAAGUAAUGAUUAAUAGGGACAGUUGGGGACAUUAGUAUUUAAUUGUCAGAGGUGAAAUUCUUGGAUUUAUUAAAGACUAACUACUGCGAAAGCAUUUGUCAAGGAUGUUUUCAUUAAUCAAGAACGAAAGUUAAGGGAUCGAAGUCGAUUAGAGACCGACGUAGUCUUAACCAUAAACUAUGCCGACUCGGGAUCGGUAGGCUACAUUUUGUACCUAUCGGCACCGUAUGAGAAAUCAAAGUUUUUGGGUUCAGGGGGGAGUAUGGUCGCAAGGCUGAAACUUAAAGGAAUUGACGGAAGGGCACCACCAGGAGUGGAGCCUGCGGCUUAAUUUGACUCAACACGGGGAAACUCACCA
rnacentral:rRNA from 1 species